UCAUAUUCUUCAUAGAGAGGUAUUCAUUGAUCUUCCAUGUAAUUGAGAAUUGUAGCCUUAGCCAUCUCAUUAUCUUCUACCCAUUUACUAUAAACUCGAGAGGGCCCAAGGGGUCUUUCGUCCUUAAUAGUGUACAAAGUCUUGUCAUGGGUUAAAAGAUAAGUGAUCAUUCUCUUCCAUAUUCGAUAAUUAACAUUAUUCAACCUCUCUAUUUUAAAAACUUCGGAUGUGGAAGAUUUAGUAGCCAUAACUCAAAAAAUUACAAAACAAACACAAUACUUAAUACAAACUUAAAUACAAAUACUACUAGUGUACUUUUAAUUAUUACAAGCCACAAAUACUAAAUGUUCUUAAUAAAUUAAUGACUAAAAAAAUAAAAUAAAAUAAAAAAUAGAGAUUUAUUUAUUCCCACUCAAAGAAACUUUGUCUAAUUAGUUAAAAGCGAGUAUUUGUUCAAACGAUCACGUCGACAGAAGGUUUUCAUACUUGUCUACUUGGGCAGGUGGGAUCAAUUCUUCCUCUCUUUUCUUGAUUGUGACUUUGUGAUGGACACCAACAGUUUUCCUCUUCACAUACACUGUCAGAGUGCAAAGAACCAAAAGAACUGUUGCCUUUGAUUUCAUCCCCACGUGAUGCCUUCGAAAUAUCACCAAAACUUUUGACUUUUGUGUAGUCUCCACGUGAAGCCUCCCCAAAAAUAAAUUCAACUUUUUUAUUUUCAAAACAAUCUUCUUCUUCUUUAUUUUCAAAACAAUUCCUCUGAGAGAGAAAACCGGUUCCUCUGUCUGCUUUCUCUGGAAAAAAUUUGUUCCGCAGCCUGGCGGAUAAUCUUGAACGGUAGAGACAAUUCUCCUUGGAGGAUAACGGUGUCGGCGGUAUUAUGUAUUACCGCGAAAGGACGAGAUCACGGUUGAACGACGAGACCACGGGGAAGAACACCACCACGCUGUUGCCUGCUUUGGUUCAGUGGGUUGCCGUGGCGAGUCUGGAGCAAGGCGCGAAAAUCGCGGGUUCAGUCUCAGAUUUGUAGCAGUCAGUGAAGGACUACGAAUCAAUCGCUAUGUGGCAGUGUAGCUAAAUGAUACCAACCAGCUGCAGCAACAGGAGCACCAAUGCCCGUUUUCUCUGCUUGUGAUUCUCCUUCAUAAUUCUUCCAGCUGUGGAUGAAGGUGUGCUGUUUACAUCUUGAACUGGCUAGGAUCCAUGCCUCCAAUAAGAAAUAUCUUUUUGCUUCCCAAUCGAGGUUGUAAUUUUUUUAUACACGUGGUGGCCCCUUUUGUAGCUAAAAUUGUCGGCUCUCAUAGAUGGGACUGUUAUGCAUCAUAUUGGUUGCUUAAUGUAAUAUCAUUUAAUGUAAACGUUUCGAUUCGAAUUUAAUAAAAUUUUUGCCGAUUGCCCCAAAAAAAA